UGCAAGAAGAGCUCAGCCAGCGGAUUG
rnacentral:sRNA from 1 species